rnacentral:rRNA from 1 species
UACGCAGGGUGCAAGCGUUAAUCGGAAUUACUGGGCGUAAAGGGUGCGUAGGCGGUUCGUUAAGUCUGUCGUGAAAUCCCCGGGCUCAACCUGGGAAUGGCGAUGGAUACUGGCGAGCUAGAGUGUGUCAGAGGAUGGUGGAAUUCCCGGUGUAGCGGUGAAAUGCGUAGAGAUCGGGAGGAACAUCAGUGGCGAAGGCGGCCAUCUGGGACAACACUGACGCUCAUGCACGAAAGCGUGGGGAGCAAACAGG